GAGUCCUUGCUUGGAGAUGGCAGCCUCCAGGGUGGGCCUUUAGGAUUAUUGUGAUAAUUGGGCCUACAAAUGUAUGAACUGAACUCUGAAUACCACCUGGGAUGUCAGCCUUUGUUGCUCUCUGCUGCCCAGGAACAGGAUCAGACUUCAACUACAAUAGCAAUGACAGCUCCAGCCCAUCUCAACUAACAACUGUCCUUUUGGGGAAAUGAGAAGACAUCUUUAAUACCAUGGAAGAGACUGUAAAACAGUCUUUUCCUUCUAAAACCUUCUCCAGCUAAAGGGAAAGGGAACAAGGAAUGUCAGUAAAGUGAAAGCAUUAUUUAAUACUUUGCA